rnacentral:rRNA from 1 species
CGGUGAAGCUGGAGCUUGCUCUGGGGGAUCAGUGGCGAACGGGUGAGUAACACGUGAGCAACCUGCCCCGUGACUCUGGGAUAAGCGCUGGAAACGGCGUCUAAUACUGGAUACGAGAAGUGAUCGCAUGGUCAACUACUGGAAAGAUUUUUUGGUUGGGGAUGGGCUCGCGGCCUAUCAGCUUGUUGGUGAGGUAAUGGCUCACCAAGGCGUCGACGGGUAGCCGGCCUGAGAGGGUGACCGGCCACACUGGGACUGAGACACGGCCCAGACUCCUACGGGAGGCAGCAGUGGGGAAUAUUGCACAAUGGGCGAAAGCCUGAUGCAGCAACGCCGCGUGAGGGAUGACGGCCUUCGGGUUGUAAACCUCUUUUAGCAGGGAAGAAGCGAGAGUGACGGUACCUGCAGAAAAAGCGCCGGCUAACUACGUGCCAGCAGCCGCGGUAAUACGUAGGGCGCAAGCGUUAUCCGGAAUUAUUGGGCGUAAAGAGCUCGUAGGCGGUUUGUCGCGUCUGCUGUGAAAUCUGGAGGCUCAACCUCCGGCCUGCAGUGGGUACGGGCAGACUAGAGUGCGGUAGGGGAGAUUGGAAUUCCUGGUGUAGCGGUGGAAUGCGCAGAUAUCAGGAGGAACACCGAUGGCGAAGGCAGAUCUCUGGGCCGUAACUGACGCUGAGGAGCGAAAGGGUGGGGAGCAAACAGGCUUAGAUACCCUGGUAGUCCACCCCGUAAACGUUGGGAACUAGUUGUGGG